rnacentral:rRNA from 1 species
UACGGAGGGUGCAAGCGUUGUUCGGAAUUACUGGGCGUAAAGCGCGUGUAGGCGGUUAUCCAAGUCAGGUGUGAAAGCCUUGAGCUCAACUCAAGAAAUGCACUUGGUACUGGGUGACUAGAGGACCGGAGAGGAUAGUGGAAUUCCCAGUGUAGUGGUGAAAUACGUAGAGAUUGGGAAGAACACCAGUGGCGAAGGCGGCUAUCUGGACGGUUUCUGACGCUAAGACGCGAAAGCGUGGGGAGCAAACAGG